rnacentral:lncRNA from 1 species
UCAUGUUUACAUGACAAAAUUAGAAGACCUCCAUUUUUAUUGUAACCACCUUUUCUAGACUCUCGAACGGAGUUAGCUAUGAGAACUGAGUAGUGAAAGAAUAGGUUAUUUACCAAGAAACACAAGCAGGAUUGUAGUGGCAUUGAUGAGACAUUGUUACAUGAUUGUAAAGCUUUAUAUUUAUGCUACCACAGAGAACUAUCAAGAUAGAGAUGAUGUACAUUACAGUAUGUACUGUAUGGUGAUACAUUAAAAUUUGUUGAAGGACUCAUAAUAAUAAUCAAUCUAUUGGGUCACUGAAGAACAGAAUAAUCAUCAAUAGUUAUAAUGAUAAUAAUUUAAAUAAUAAUUUUUUAGUACUUAGCACAGUG